GAAAAAGUAAAUAUUAUUGGUUAAAGUAGUUAAAUAGAUAUUUUCUUUAAAUUUGAAUGUUAUUAGGUGAAAUUUUAAUUUUAUUGAAAUGGAUUUUUAUUGAAGCUGCGAAAUUUAAUUUGUAGACGAGGAUUAGAUACCCUUUUAUUUUAAAUGUAAAUAUUUAACCUGGGUAGUAAUAGUUAUGUUCUUGAAACCCAAAGAAUUUGGCGGUACUUUAUUCUUUUUAGAGGAACCUGUCCUGUAAUUGAUAUUCCACGAGGAUGAAUUACUUAUUUUUGUUUUCAUUUUGUAUACCUCCGUCAUAAGAGUAUCUUUUUAGAGUUAAUAUUCUAUAAAUACAUAAUAUAAGAUGUCAGGUCAAGGUGCAAUUUAUAGAUAAGUAGAGAUGGGUUACAAUAAAUUUAUUUAUAUGGAUUAAUAUUGUUAAUUAUAUUAUGAAGGUGGAUUUAAAAGUAAAAUUAAUUUCUUAUUAAUUUGAUUUUAGCUCUAAAGUAUGCACACAUCGCCCGUCGCUCUUAUUUUAAAAUAAGAUAAGUCGUAACAUAGUAGGAGUACCGGAAGGUGUUCCUAGUAAGUA
rnacentral:rRNA from 1 species